rnacentral:rRNA from 1 species
CGCAAUGGGCGAAAGCCUGACGGAGCGACGCCGCGUGUAGGAAGAAGCCCUUCGGGGUGUAAACUACUUUUUUUUGGGACGAAUUUUGACGGUACCAAGAGAAUAAGCCACUGCUAACCUCGUGCCAGCAGCCGCGGUAAGACGAGGGUGGCAAACGUUAUCCGGAUUUAUUGGGUGUAAAGCGUCUCUAGGCUGCUUAGCAAGUUUCUGGUUAAAUCUUUGGGCCUAACCCAAAAACCGCUGGAAAAACUACUAAGCUAGAGACUGGGAGAGGCAAGCGGAAUGGCCGGUGUAGUAGUAAAAUGCGUUGAUAUCGGCCAGAACACCAAUAGCGUAGGCAGCUUGCUAGAACAGUUCUGACGCUUUUCAGACGAAAGCGUGG